ensembl:lncRNA
GUCCAUCACUCCCCUUCACACUGCACAUGUCACUUUCACUUGUCACUUUCUGUUUGCUGGUGCACUUUCUUUUUAAUUUUGAAAUAGCUUUAACGAACUGUUAUUCCUUUAUUUUUAAACUAACCCAUAGCCUUAUAUUUUAUUUUAUUCCUCCUGCACUGUUGUCUUGUCAUCCAUUGUCGUACUGUCUGCUGUUACGCACCAACCGCCAAGUCACAUUCCUUGUGUAUCUCACAGAUUAUGGUGAUUAAUGUUUCCUGAUUCCUGAGAAACACCUCAUCAUCAGCCUGAGAUCAUCAUCUCGCAUCUACAGAGGGACGAACAUCUUUGAAGUUUUAAGGAGUCUCCAUAAACCGGUUACUCUUCAUGGACACACAGCUGGGUUCAGGAUCAGGUCCAGGUCUCUGAUGGGUCCUGGUCACACAUGUAGAACCAGAGUCAGAGAGACAUGGAGACGUUGGGACAUGGAGAAGAGUGGAGGACAGUUGGAGAUGGUCCUCUCACCUCUGAGCUGUGGUCUGGCUGUCAUGUUCCCCACACAGAGGAGCUUCAGAGGGACGGACUCCGUCCUCUGGGUCCUCAGCCUGAUUCAUAGCAGAGUCCACAGCUUCACACCUUCACACCAACCUGCUGGGAGAACUCACAUGUUCUUUAUCUUCAUCAGGACAAACACACAGAGCUCAUCCACCUCAACACUAAAACUCUCAUGGGACACUUUGUGUUGUCGUCUUGUCUGAUGAAGGACUGAAGACGCUAAAGCGACUUACGUUGUCUUUUUUAACUCUUGGUUUUAACAUUUUACAUUUUCCUCAGGGACACUUUGACAUGAGACACGGAGCAGCUGGGGUUCGAACCGCCGACCCCGCGGUGCGUUUGCUGCCGGUUUAGAGUCUCGCUGACGGUCCUCGUGUCCCUUGAUUAAAAGGACAUCAUAGUUUUAAUGCACAAGCUGCGCUCUGUGGACACGGACACGACGUUACGGCUACAUUUAAUCAUGACGUUCUGAAUGUAAAGUCCGUCCUCAAACAGACGGAACGUCUCCGGUGGACAACAUCGGUCUUCCCGGUGCUGGAGGAGUCAGCCGGUCCCGUGGGAUUGCCACAACAUCUAAAAACACCUCCCUUCCCUCCCCCCCUCCUCCCUCCCUGCCUCUCUGCAUCCUCCAACAUCCGACACUGAGGGGGAGAAGAAGGGAACGAGAUGGACUGAAGAGAAGAAGAAGAGAUGUGGUAGGAACCGCCGAGGCUGCUGUUUAGUGUGUAUAUGAUAGAGUGUGUG